rnacentral:rRNA from 1 species
UACGGAGGGUGCAAGCGUUAUCCGGAAUCACUGGGUUUAAAGGGUGCGUAGGCUGUUAGAUAAGUCAGUUGUGAAAUUCUCCGGCUUAACCGGAUGGACUGCGAUUGAUACUGUUUAACUUGAAUCAGGUUGAGGUAGGCGGAAUGUGGCAUGUAGCGGUGAAAUGCAUAGAUAUGCCAUAGAACACCGAUUGCGAAGGCAGCUUGCUGGACCUGUAUUGACGCUGAGGCACGAAAGCGUGGGGAGCAAACAGG